UACGUAGGGGGCAAGCGUUGUCCGGAUUUAUUGGGCGUAAAGAGCGUGUAGGCGGCCAGAUAGGUCAGCUGUGAAAACUCGAGGCUCAACCUCGAGACGUCGGUUGAAACCAUCUGGCUAGAGUCCGGAAGAGGAGAGUGGAAUUCCCGGUGUAGCGGUGAAAUGCGCAGAUAUCGGGGAAGAACACCCCGUGGCGAAGGCGGCUCUCUGGGACGGUACUGACGCUGAGACGCGAAAGCGUGGGGAGCGAACAGG
rnacentral:rRNA from 1 species